rnacentral:tRNA from 1 species
GGACGCGUAGCUCAGUUGGACCAGAGCAAGGGGCUUCUAUCCCCUGGGUCGCAGGUUCGAGUCCUGCCGCGUUCGCCA